rnacentral:rRNA from 1 species
CAGUGGAUUAUGUGGUUUAAUUCGAUGGUAAACGAAGAACCUUACCAGGGUUAGAAAUCCAUACAAAGCCUUAGGAAACUUGCUGUAUACAGGUGUGACGAACGCAACCCUCGUUGUGUGUUACAAGUGUACACGAGACCCCCCCGCCUUUGCGCAGAGCGCAAAUACAGAUAUUAUAAGGAUGCCAGGUAGCAUGUCCCUUUGAUACCCUGGCUACAUACAUGGCCACUACACGCGUUGCGACGAGGCGACUCUAAGCUUCGUUCAAAAGUGGCCUCAGUUCGGAUUGGAGUGCAACUCGCCUCCAUGAAGUUGGAAUUGCUAGUAAUCAAGGUCAGCUAAACCGUGGUGAAUACGUUCUCAAGUCUUGUACUCACCGCCGUCAAGUCAAGGGAGCCGGGAGUACCCGAAGUAUCCGCAUAAGCAGGUCGUCAAGUAAGCUCGGACAG